GCAAGUCGAACGAGAUCCUUCGGGGUCUAGUGGCGCACGGGUGCGUAACGCGUGGGAAUCUGCCUUUCGGUACGGAAUAACUCAGGGAAACUUGUGCUAAUACCGUAUGACGUCGCGAGACCAAAGAUUUAUCGCCGAAAGAUGAGCCCGCGUAGGAUUAGCUAGUUGGUGGGGUAAAGGCCUACCAAGGCGACGAUCCUUAGCUGGUCUGAGAGGAUGAUCAGCCACACUGGGACUGAGACACGGCCCAGACUCCUACGGGAGGCAGCAGUGGGGAAUAUUGGACAAUGGGCGAAAGCCUGAUCCAGCAAUGCCGCGUGAGUGAUGAAGGCCUUAGGGUUGUAAAGCUCUUUUACCCGGGAUGAUAAUGACAGUACCGGGAGAAUAAGCCCCGGCUAACUCCGUGCCAGCAGCCGCGGUAAUACGGAGGGGGCUAGCGUUGUUCGGAAUUACUGGGCGUAAAGCGUACGUAGGCGGUGACUCAAGUCAGAGGUGAAAGCCCGGGGCUCAACUCCGGAAUUGCCUUUGAAACUAGGUCGCUUGAACGUCGGAGAGGUGAGUGGAAUUCCGAGUGUAGAGGUGAAAUUCGUAGAUAUUCGGAAGAACACCAGUGGCGAAGGCGGCUCACUGGACGACUGUUGACGCUGAGGUACGAAAGCGUGGGGAGCAAACAGGAUU
rnacentral:rRNA from 1 species